rnacentral:rRNA from 1 species
GUAGGGGGCAAGCGUUGUCCGGAAUUAUUGGGCGUAAGGAGCUCGUAGGCGGUUCGGUAAGUCGGGUGUGAAAAUCCAGGGGCUCAACCCUGGGGACGCCACUCGAUACUGCUGUGACUAGAGUCCCGGUAGAGGAGCGUGGAAUUUCUGGUGUAGCGGUGAAAUGCGCAGAUAUCAGAAGGAACACCAGCGGCGAAGGCGGCGCUCUGGGCCGGUACUGACGCUGAGGAGCGAAAGCGUGGGGAGCAAACAGGAUUAGAUACCCUGGUAGUCCACGCCGUAAACGUUGGGCACUAGGUAUGGGGUCUUAUCAACGGAUUCCGUGCCGUAGCUAACGCAUUAAGUGCCCCGCCUGGGGAGUACGGCCGCAAAGGCUAA